GUUAAUCUAUGGUUAGAAUGGAUGAAAUAUAAUGCCAACAAACAUAACAGAACCGCAUGCUAUUUGUGUGGUGGUGCCCGGCCGCACCUGGGCACUGUGCCUUUAACUUUGCCAGUAGAUAUAGAAGAAUGUGUUCUGAGUCUUUUUGCCUAUCACUACAAUUUCAAUAGGUCCAUAUGUAAAGCAUGGACAGUAGAGUAUCCUCUUCUAGUCAAAGAUUGCAAACCCCCACAUGGUGUUACCGUCUAUAAAGGUAAUUAUACCUGUUAUGCUAAUUAUGAUGGAAUCGGUAAAUUUGUGGGUAACUUCUCUAAAGGUUAUUGUGCCACCUACAGAACUGUCUCUAUGAACCUCCUACAAUUCCACACUAGAUCAUUGGGGGAUAUUUACUGGUUGUGUGGGGAUCUACAGCUGAGAUCAAGAAUGGAUAAAGAAUGGUGGGGGGAGUGUACUCUGG